rnacentral:tRNA from 1 species
GGAGGUGCAACUCAGUGGGAGAGUGGAUGCUUGGCAUGCAUGAGGCCCUGGGGUCAAUCCCCAGCAUCACCU